GAGAUGGAGGGGAAGGGGAGAAGGAGGGAGGAGAGAGGAAGCGGGAGGAGAGGCGAAAUUCAGGCUGGGAGAGAAAACAGAAGGGUCCCUGUGCGCUGUGGGCGAUGCGCCUCCUGGCCUUGGCCCUGGCCGCCCUGCUGGCCCAAGCGCCCAUCCCAGAUGUUUGCGAGGCUCUGAAUGUGACAGUCUCACCAGGACCGACAGUGCGAUACGCCGAGGGAGACAAUGCUACCCUUUAUUGUCACGUUUCUCAAAAGAGACGGACAGACAACUUACUUGCUGUCCGAUGGGUUUUUGCCCUCUCACCCACACAGGAGUAUCUGAUGAUCAAAAUGACUAAAUUUGGGAUUGUCCAGUACUAUGGAAAUUACACCCACCACUUCCACAAGCAAAGACUUCGCCUUCUUCAAGAGAGACACGGAACAAUAUACAAAUUCCUAAUUCUGAAUCUGCGGCCAACGGAUCAAGGCCAUUAUAUAUGCAAAGUCCAGGAAAUUGGCAAGCACAGGAAUAAGUGGACUGCAUGGUCAAAUGGCACAGCAGCUACUGAAGUAAAAGUGAUUUCAUCGAAAGCUUCAGAAGAUCCCACUUUUGAGAAAACCCAUGAGGCCUGGAAGUUUUUUGAAGACCUGUACGUAUAUGCAGUGUUUGUGUGCUCCAUCGGCAUCAUCAGCGUCCUCCUUUUUACACUUGUCAUUCUCUGCCAGUCACUGCUGAACAAGAAAAGAUCCAGAGUGAAGCAUUAUCUGGUGAAAAAUCCCCAGAACAGCUCGGGGGAGACGGUCACCAGUGUGACAAGUCUGUCCCCGCUACAGCCCAAAAAAGUAAAGAAAAAGAAAGAGAAGGCUGAGCAACCCCCAGCUAUCCCAGCGAAAGCUCCAAUAGCCAAUACUUUUCAGAAACCUAAGCUGUUGAAACCUCAAAGAAAAAUUCUCCUGCCCCUCUUCCUGUGAGUAGUUCAGUUGACUUCAACGAGAUACCACUUCCUCAGCAGACUCGACCCAAGGACAGGGAUGCAGGAGCAGACCUAUGGAGAGGAUAUAAUGAAAUGAGAUUUGUGCUGGAAAAACGCAAGUGAAUACAUCUGGAAAUAAACACAGAUACUGAGUGAUAUUCAAGGCAAAAAUGAAGGCAGUCCAGAUAAUAGCAACAGAAGAGGAUUAAGGGACUGACUCAGAGGGAAUAGUCACAGAGCUAAAUAUAUGCCGAAAAUUGCAGAGGAGAAUUUAACGUACGCCGAACUUGAGCUGAUCAAGCCCCAUCAGGCAGCGAAAGGUGUGCCCACCACGACGGUCUACGCCCAGAUCCUGUUUGAGGAGAACAAGCUGUAAAAGCCGGUGUCUGGCUAAAUGUUCUCUGGCUGUGUUCUAUUUAAUUCUUGCUGUGCUGUUUAUUUAUAAAAAUCAUACAAAUGUC